rnacentral:rRNA from 1 species
UAACACAUGCAAGUCGAGCGAGAAAGGGGCUUCGGCCCUGAGUAGAGCGGCGCACGGGUGAGUAACACGUGAAUAAUCUGCCCCUUAGACCGGGAUAACAGACCGAAAGGACUGCUAAUACCGGAUAAGCCCACGUCCCAACCGGGGAUGCGGGAAAAGCACGGGACCGCAAGGCCGUGCGCUUUGGGAUGAGUUCGCGUUCCAUUAGAUAGUUGGUGAGGUAAUGGCUCACCAAGUCGACGAUGGAUAGCUGGUCUUAGAGGAUGAUCAGCCACACUGGAACUGAGACACGGUCCAGACUCCUACGGGAGGCAGCAGUGGGGAAUCUUGCGCAAUGGGGGAAACCCUGACGCAGCCAUGCCGCGUGAAGCGAUGAAGGCCUUCGGGUUGUAAAGCUCCGUCUAAGGGGACGAAUGGCGCUGUGAACAAGACACACGGCGAUUGACGGUACCCUUAAAGAAAACACCGGCUAACUCCGUGCCAGCAGCCGC